GACGAACGCUGGCGGCGUGCUUAACACAUGCAAGUCGAACGGAAAGGCCCUGCUUUUGUGGGGUUCUCGAGUGGCGAACGGGUGAGUAACACGUGAGCAACCUGCCCUUGACUUUGGGAUAACUUCAGGAAACUGGGGCUAAUACCGGAUAGGAGCUCCUGCUGCAUGGUGGGGGUUGGAAAGUUUCGGCGGUUGGGGAUGGACUCGCGGCUUAUCAGCUUGUUGGUGGGGUAGUGGCUUACCAAGGCUUUGACGGGUAGCCGGCCUGAGAGGGUGACCGGGCACAUUGGGACUGAGAUAGGGCCCAGUCUCCUACGGGAGGCAGCAGUGGGGAAUAUUGCACAAUGGGCGGAAGCCUGAUGCAGCAACGCCGCGUGCGGGAUGACGGCCUUCGGGUUGUAAACCGCUUUCGCCUGUGACGAAGCGUGAGUGACGGUAAUGGGUAAAGAAGCACCGGCUAACUACGUG
rnacentral:rRNA from 1 species